rnacentral:rRNA from 1 species
CCCUUAGAUGUUCUGGGCCGCACGCGCGCUACACUGAUGCAUUCAACGAGUCUACAACCUGGUCUGAUAGGGCUGGGUAAUCUUUUGAAUGUGCAUCGUGAUUGGGAUAGAUGAUUGCAAUUCUUCAUCUUCAACGAGGAAUGCCUAGUAAACGCAAGUCAUCAGCUUGCAUUGAUUACGUCCCUGCCCUUUGUACACACCGCCCGUCGCUGCCCGGAACUGAGCCGUUUCGAGAAGACUGAGGAUUGCUGACUUGAGGCCUUCACGGGCUUCUAGUCGGUGAAAAUCAAUUUAAUCGCAGCGGCUUGAACCGGGCAAAAGUCGUAACA